CCACAACCACAACUAAAACGAUGAAUUCUUGAAAGAGAUUAGGGGAGAAAUUAAGAAGGUGUGGAUGAUGAAAAAAAAGUACAUUUAAAUAAUAAAUUUUUAUACAAUGGACACUUCCAUUAUUGACUUUGGAUUCAUGGGACAGACUGCUUAAUUAAUUAUCUAAGAACACAUAAAACAUAAACAAAUACAAUUACAUUAAUAUGGACAAAAUGAUCGAUGAGGAUACACUCAAAAGCUAUCAAUUUGGCACAUAGCUAGACAACAUGACUGAUCAGGCUACGAUCGACCUUAGGCUGCCUUUCCAGCAGCUUGCUGGAAAAUCUGGCGUUCGGAUUCUGACAUUCGAGCUGCAUGGAAGUUGGCAAUGAAAACUGAAGCUCUGGAGUCAACACGAGGAUCAGGCUUCACAGAAACAAGCGGACCCUUGUCAUCAUCAAAAGGCCGGAUUUUUCUUGGACUCAUUACAUCAUCGUUGCCAUAAUAAGCAUCCUGAUCACCCGUUCGUCGUGGCUUUCUAGCCUUGAAAAAGCUGAAGAAAGAGGAGGAGGAAGAUUUCUUUUGCUUGUUGCCAACCAUAGUUGCUAGCUAGUUUCUUGGUUUUGGUAGCGAGGUGUUAAGCAGUUACACCAAGUUCUAAUUUGUCUUGUUGAGGUAGGCUCAAGUGAUCAGUAGGGAAGUUGUGUGUUGUUGGUAUUGAAAUUAUGAGAAGCGCGAGACAUGAAUUUAUAGGGGGAGGGGAGGGGAGGGGAGGGGUAUCUUGUGAUAUUUAAUUGGGUGGACAUGAUCAAAUACCAUAGGCAUACUUGAGAAAGAAAUCAUUGACCAUCUACAGUUCCUGGUAGCAAAACUCAAGGGAAAGCAUAUGGAAUAUAUUGUGGUCCGCUACUCGGUAAGAAAUUGGCCAUUAUUGACCCUUUGAAACAAGCAAUCGAUCUCAUGAUCAUCAACAGCUUGAUCCUCAAUUAAAUUCUCUUCUUCUAUUCUUCCUUGUGCUUUAUCCUCCUUUGAAUUUGCAUUCCUUUCUUAAUUCAUUACCCCCUUUAACUUUGUUGGCUGUCUAAUAUCUAAUUGUUCUUGGGGUCCUUUACUAGAAUUUUGUUUUUCAUUUCUUUGUAACUUCCACACAUUUUAGUUUUAAAUCAAGUUAUAGUACUAGAAGUUAGGUUGGAAAGUUUUUUUAUAUUAAUUUCAUCUUUUGUUUUUCUCAAUUUCAAUUUUAGAUUUUUUUUGAUAGAUCAGGAUGUUUUUAGACCGACCAAGUCAAUUGAAUCAUGUUAGGACAACUCUCAUAAUUUAAUUUUAAACCUGAACUAGACAAAGAGUUGGAUCAGAAAAUUUCAAUGUUUACCCAUCAAGUCGAGUUUAAUAAAAAUUCCAAAUAACUCUUUAUAAAUAUUUUUAAUAGUUAUUUUUUAAAAAAUUCAUGUUACUCGUCACUCUUUAAUUUAUCAAUAAAAUAAAUUGUAUUUUCGUAUCAGUGUGUGGACAUCGAGAAUUUAAGAUUCUUUCUCUAACCAUUCUUGCAUGUGAGAAGUUUCUGAAGUUUUCUCGAGGGGUUUAAACAUUUAUAGUACUUUUAUUAUAUAUAUAAAUAUAUAUUCUUUCUUGACAACUUAUUUUGAAUUUGAUUAAAUUUUUAUUUUGCUUUUUUAAAAAAAAAUAAAAUAAUUAACACAAUAUUAAAUAACAUGACACGUCUUAGAAUCCCGGUUCAAUUAAUCUUUAUUUAUUAUUAACAUCUCUCUUAGAAUCCCAGUUCAAUAUUUAUCGAUUAAUUUUAUUAUUUAUUAAAUGCACUAACCAUGUAUUCAAGACUGAUUGUAACAAUGAAAGAAACCACAUUAACCCCUCCUCUUGGAAAUUAUGUAAAGUAAUUAAGUCACUGUACAUACUCUACCCUUUUCCUUCAGCUAGCAUCUUAAUCAAAUUAAAUUACUUGUAAAUCAUAGGAAUCGAUAAGGCGUAUCCUUCUUGGACAGAAUUAAGACUAUAAAAAUCAAUUUUAAUUAAUAGAAAUAAUUUUUUAGUUUAACAUGGGUGUCCGGGCCAGCUUACGCGCACCUCGACUAAUCCCACGGGCCCUGAAGUUAACGACCAUGUAAGCCUCCAGUGGCCAUCAUAUGAGCAAUCACAGGGCUCGAACCUAAGAUCACAGAGGAAGCAAACCUUUUAGUCCCAAGUUUUUACAACUGAGCCACCACCUACCUACUUUAAUUAAUAGAAAUAAUUAAUUGGAGGCUGAGCUGUGACCAUCAAGAAGAGCGUGUUUGGCAGUGUGGUUGCAGGUGCUUUUCAAAUAACUUUUCGUGCCAAAAUGCAUGCAAAUGAUGUUUUUUCAUUUUUUAAAAAUUAUUUUUGACAUCAGCAUAUCAAAACGAUCCAAAACAUACAAACCAUAUUAAAUUUUAGCAAAAAAUUUUUUUUUUUUAAAAACGCAGCCGCAGCCACGUUCCCAAACAUACUAGAAGAAGAUGAUACUGCACCGAUUAACAGCAGCAAAUUGUACAGAAAAAGAACAGAUUGUAGGCAGUAUAUAUAUAUAUUAUUACUAAACUGCAGCUGGUUUCAUAAAUCUCAGAUUCUUCCUAAAGUAUUUUUUAUGCACUUUAAUUCCCAAAAAGAUCAUAUACUUUCAAUGCCGGCAGUAGUAAAAUUGAGCCUCUUGUAUUUGAUAGCUGUGUUGCUAAAGAGCUCCCAUCCGUUCAUGUUAAAAUUAUUUAAAAAAUAUAUUUAUUUUAUUUAUUUAUUUUCAUCACUCCAACGAAACAUAUCUUUAUCUUUUUCAUAAUGGAACAUUAACCAAAUUCAACCUUGAAAAUUAAUCCAUCCACACACACACACACACAGUCUAGGCCACAACCACAACUAAAACGAUGAAUUCUUGAAAGAGAUUAGGGGAGAAAUUAAGAAGGUGUGGAUGAUGAAAAAAAAGUACAUUUAAAUAAUAAAUUUUUAUACAAUGGACACUUCCAUUAUUGACUUUGCAUUCAUGGGACAGACUGCUUAAUUAAUUAUCUAAGAACACAUAAAACAUAAACAAAUACAAUUACAUUAAUAUGGACAAAAUGAUCGAUGAGGAUACACUCAAAAGCUAUCAAUUUGGCACAUAGCUAGACAACAUGACUGAUCAGGCUACGAUCGACCUUAGGCUGCCUUUCCAGCAGCUUGCUGGAAAAUCUGGCGUUCGGAUUCUGACAUUCGAGCUGCAUGGAAGUUGGCAAUGAAAACUGAAGCUCUGGAGUCAACACGAGGAUCAGGCUUCACAGAAACAAGCGGACCCUUGUCAUCAUCAAAAGGCCGGAUUUUUCUUGGACUCAUUACAUCAUCGUUGCCAUAAUAAGCAUCCUGAUCACCCGUUCGUCGUGGCUUUCUAGCCUUGAAAAAGCUGAAGAAAGAGGAGGAGGAAGAUUUCUUUUGCUUGUUGCCAACCAUAGUUGCUAGCUAGUUUCUUGGUUUUGGUAGCGAGGUGUUAAGCAGUUACACCAAGUUCUAAUUUGUCUUGUUGAGGUAGGCUCAAGUGAUCAGUAGGGAAGUUGUGUGUUGUUGGUAUUGAAAUUAUGAGAAGCGCGAGACAUGAAUUUAUAGGGGGAGGGGAGGGGAGGGGAGGGGUAUCUUGUGAUAUUUAAUUGGGUGGACAUGAUCAAAUACCAUAUAGGCAUACUUUGAGAAAGAAAUCAUUGACCAUCUACAGUUCCUGGUAGAAAAACUCAAGGGAAAGCAUAUGGAAUAUAUUGUGGUCCGCUACUCGGUAAGAAAAUGGCCAUUAUUGACCCUUUGAAACAAGCAAUCGAUCUCAUGAUCAUCAACUGCUUGAUCCUCAAUCAAAUUC
rnacentral:lncRNA from 1 species